rnacentral:rRNA from 1 species
CGUUCCCAGGCCUUGUACACACCGCCCGUCACAUCAUGAAAGCCGCUUGUACCCGAAGUCGCCCCGUCAAAAGGUGCCGAAGGUAUGGGUGGUGAUUGGGAUG